GACGAACCGUACGAACGUUAUUCGGAAUUACUGGGCUUAAAAGGUGCGUAGGCGGCGCAGUAAGUUGGGUGUGAAAUCCCUCGGCUUAACCGAGGAAUUGCGCCCAAAACUACUGUGCUCGAGGGAGGUAGAGGUGAGCGGAACUUAGGGUGGAGCGGUGAAAUGCGUUGAUAUCCUAAGGAACACCGGUGGCGAAAGCGGCUCACUGGACCUCUUCUGACGCUGAGGCGCGAAAGCUAGGGUAGCAAACGGG
rnacentral:rRNA from 1 species